rnacentral:lncRNA from 1 species
GUUUUUAAAAGCCCCAACAGGCCAGUUUCCAUGAGAUGGUCGGGGAAGGCCCUCUGAGGAGCCUGGAUGGGGGAGGGGGCAGGGGCAGAGCCAGUCGAGGACAGAGAGUUCCCAGGACAGGGAACAGAAAUGCCGAAGUCCAGAGGGGAGGACGAGGCAGGAAAAAACCAGGCAGUUCCAGCCCGUGUGACAAGUGAGUAUCAGGGGCUCAAGGGGCUGUGAGAAUCCAGCUGAGGGCCCUGAACCGUGCCUGAGAAGGUUCCAGAAGGAAGGGGUGUGUGAGCAGAGGGCUGCUGAUGGGGGCUGAGAUGACCACCCCUCUCAUAUACGCCCCAUCCUCCUGCCGUGGAGGACUGAGGACUGGUCCCCAUGAGUGCUGGGACCCCACAGGCCCAAGCUAUCCUUGGUAAAGGCCCCUGCUUCCUGGGCCCCAGGUCAGCUCUCUUCUUGGGUCCUCUGUGGCCGGCCCUUUCCUCCCAGACAUCCCUUCUCCAGCUCCACUAGGUGAGCUCUCACCUACUCACCGGAGGACUCGAGGAUGCACUGUCUCACUGAGCUCUGCCAUUGACUUGCUGUGUGACUACGGCCUCGUCGACGCCCCUCUCUGGCUGGGCCUCUGUCUCUCCCUCUCAACCUGGAGGAGUUGGGCUCCAGGCUCCCGGGGGCCGUGCCAGCCCGAGUGCCUGCCAUUCCUUGGCUGGAAGGCGAUGUCUUGGUGCCCUCUGGGUGGAAGCCUUGCCAAGCGAAGGGUUUGGCAUGCCCUCUUUGCCUGCUCUGUUCGAGAGUGACUGUCUUAUUCCAACAAGGAGCCACCCCCGGGGUGGCCCACUCUAAACCCCAGUGACUCACUUACAGAGUGAGGGGCAGGCGGGCGGCAGCCGUCUCUGUGGCUCUUGGCGUCGGUGGAGCCCACGGGCCCACGAGCCCACGCCGAGCGGGAACUUGUGUCAACCACUGGCUCCUGUAAAUCGCAGGGCUGGGACAAGGUGGGACUGUCAGCGGCCUCGGAGAGAAAGCUCAGCCUGUGUGCUCUGGGGAGGUGACCCGGGGGGACCCGGGGCCGCUGCUCCGGGAGUUAAUGAGUGC